rnacentral:rRNA from 1 species
AUUGAACGCUGGCGGCAUGCUUUACACAUGCAAGUCGAACGGGAACAGCACUUCGGUGGCUGACGAGUGGCGCACGGGUGGGUAAUACAUCGGAACGUGCCUAGUAGUGGGGGGUAACUACUCGAAAGAGUAGCUAAUACCGCAUGAGAUCUAAGGAUGAAAGCAGGGGACCUUCGGGCCUUGCGCUACUAGAGCGGCUGAUGGCAGAUUAGGUAGUUGGUGGGAUAAAAGCUUACCAAGCCGACGAUCUGUAGCUGGUCUGAGAGGACGACCAGCCACACUGGGACUGAGACACGGCCCAGACUCCUACGGGAGGCAGCAGUGGGGAAUUUUGGACAAUGGGCGCAAGCCUGAUCCAGCAAUGCCGCGUGCAGGAUGAAGGCCUUCGGGUUGUAAACUGCUUUUGUACGGAACGAAAAGCCCUCUUCUAAUACAGGAGGGUCAUGACGGUACCGUAAGAAUAAGCACCGGCUAACUACGUG